rnacentral:rRNA from 1 species
GUUGAGUUUGGUGAUGGCUCUGAUUGAACACUGUCCAAGUGCUUGACACAUGCUAAUCGAACGUUUUAAUUAAGGCUAGCGCAAGCUAUAGCUCAUAAUUAAAAAGUGGUGUACAGGUGAGUAUAAUAAUAUUUCAUGCCGACCUUAAAGUGAAGAUAAAUUCUUCAUAAACAAAGGGAUUUCCGCUUUAAGAGGACGAUAAAUAUUAACGAGAUAGGUAGUAGUGAAGGUUAUGUCUUCACUAGCCUUAACUCUCGUAGUCGAAGCUGAAAGGUUAAUCGACCACAUUGGGUCUGAAAAAAGCCCAAUGCAAGUUAGUACAGCAGUGAGGAAUAUUGGUCAAUGGCCUAACGGCUGAACUGGCAACUUGGAGAAGUGUUAAGUCUUUAUUUUUGUACUAAGUUUAGACUUAGUUUGAUAUAAGCAAAAUUAAAGAUUAAAUUAGUAUUGAAUGAAACUUUGUUUAUAUACCGAUAAUGACGAUAUAUAUAUUAUGUCUUGACCAAUUACGUGCCAGCAGUCGCGGUAAUACGUAAGAGACUAGUGUUAUUCAUCUUAAUUAGGUUUAAAGGGUACUCAAACGGUCUACUUAUAUUUUUUUUUAUCGAUAAAAAAAAAAGACUAGAGUUAUAUAGAAGAAGGUAGUACCUUAAGUGUAGAGAUUAUAUUUGGUUAUACUGUAGGGACUUAGAAAAGGCGUAGGCAACCUUCUAAGUAAUAACUGACGUUGAAGGACGAAGGCAUAGGUCACGAACAGGAUUAGAUACCCUAGUAGUCUUUGCAGUCAAUGAUGAAUGCCAUAGGUUAGAUAAAAUUUAGUCUAUAAAUGAAAGUGUAAGCAUUUCACCUCAAGAGUAAUGUGGCAACGCAGGAACUGAAAUCACUAGACCGUUUCUGACACCAGUAGUGAAGUAUGUUGUUUAAUUCGAUGAUCCACGAAAAACCUUACCACAAUUUGUAUAUUUUACAGGAGUUGCACGGCUGUCUGCAGUUGAUGUUGUGAAACUAUGGUUUCCAUGAAUUAACACAAUCCCUUGCUUUAUUUUUGUAUUAUAAGCUUUGCUUAUUAAUUACUAUAAAGCAUUUAACUCAAGAAUAUGGGAAGAAAAAAGGGAGUAAGACAAGUCAUCAUGGCCUUAAUAUUGUGGGCUAUAGACGUGCCACAUAAGCCUAUACAAAGAGAUGCAAAAAUGUGAAUUCUAGCAAAUCUCCAAAAUAGGAAAUAAAAAGGAUUGUAGUCUGAAAUUCGACUAUAUGAAUAAGUAAUUACUAGUAAUCGUGAAUCAGUAUGUCACGGUGAAUAUAUCUCGGAUUGGUACUAACCACUCGUCGCAUGCUGAAAGGAGUUUAUACAAUAAGUUUGCUCUUUUAUAGUAACAAAAUAAAAUAAUAAGAUUUUAUAAAUAUUAAUAUAGAAUUCUUCGUAUGUAUAGCUCUAAUUAGUGUUAAGUCGAAAUACGGUUCGCGUAGCGGAAGUUGCGCGG